UCUUUCCGCCCACCACUACCACCGGCCCCCCACCCGGCCACCCUGGCUGGGCACCCGAACCACUCAGGCUGAACUUAGUUCCACACUCCUCGGGGGCAGCCCGGAAGCCGGCUCCCCGAGCGGAGCCCCCCAGAUUGGUCGGAGGGACGCCCCUGCGGGCAGAUUCUGACGGCAUACUUAGCAAGGCACAGCGCUGGGCACCAUGCGGCCUGCAAAGACUUCAGGAAGCAUGAAUAAACAAACAAACUGAGGUAUAAGCAAUGGUGAUUGGAAACCAGUGUUCAUCCACCGAGUGUCUCUCCUACUAAAAAUUCUGUGAUGUCAUCAUGUGCCUCCUUAAGAGAGACAUCCACAUGCCAGAACUGUUAUCCUGGUUGUUGAACAUUAAAUGCUGCUUACCCUGAAUAUCCCAAGAUU